GAUGAAGAACGUAGCGAAAUGCGAUAAGUAAUGUGAAUUGCAGAAUUCAGUGAAUCAUCGAAUCUUUGAACGCACCUUGCGCCCUUUGGCUAUUCCGAAGGGCAUGCCUGUUUGAGUAUCGUGAACACCUCAACUCUCAUGGUUUGCCAUGAUGAGCUUGGACUUUGGGGGUUUUGCUGGCCUUUGGUCGGCUCCUCUCAAACGGAUCAGCUUUCCAGUGUUUGGUGGCGUCACGGGUGUGAUAACUAUCUACGCCUGUGGUUUUCUGCCAGAUAACCUUCAGCGAUGGAGGUUCGCUGGGGCUCAUAAAUGUCUCUCUUCAGUGGAGACAGCUUUUUGGACGUUUGAUCUCAAAUCGGGUAGGACUACCCGCUGAACUUAAGCAUAUCAAUAAGCGGAGGA
rnacentral:misc_RNA from 1 species